ACUACUUCUGCGCCUGCGCGACCGUGAUUCCCCGCUCGCGACUCCCCACCCCCCAGGGCUCCCUAAAGAGGGCCACGAGCUGCGAAAGGGCGGGAAAGGCAGUUGGAGAAGAGGUAAGCGGUUACUCACUCCAUGGCUGCAGCAAGGAGAGGCGGCGGCGGCCUCGGCUGAAGAAAGAAGGGGGCAGGCGGUUAGCUGGCGGUGCAGGGCCUCGGCGCGGGUCAGCACGUCCUCCACGCUCAGCUUCAUAGUCAGCUCGUUGAUGUGCUGCGGGAGGGGGUGGGUCAGGCGCCAGUCGGCACUCAACCACCUCCGCCCGAGCGCCCACUCUGUGCUUCGUGCUUGAGGAUCUCAUUGGAGCCGAAGCCGGACAGCAUGAGGGUGUCCCUCUCCAUGUCCAGGAUGGCGCAGGCCACCAGCAGGUGCAGAUUGGGGCCAGGGAGCCCUGUCCACAGCACCUCCCACAGCCGAAGGACAUCCGGGAAGGGGAAUUCCCUCUUGAACCAGAUGAGCAGCCACCGGAAACAGAAGCAGAGAGAGCCGGAGUCCUGGGAAUCUGGGGGAUGACAUGGAGCCCACUCAGCCUUGCCCAGCGCUGGGACUGAGAGUUUGAGAAGUCAUCCUGACUGGAAGACCUUCCCCAAGUCUAG
rnacentral:lncRNA from 1 species